ensembl:snRNA U6 U6 spliceosomal RNA
GUACUUGCUUCAGCAGCACAUAUACUAAAACUGGAACGGCAUAGAGAAGAUCAGCACGGCCCCCGCACAAGGGUGACACGCAGAUUCAUUUGUAAGAAACAGUCUCC